rnacentral:rRNA from 1 species
GUAACCUACGGGGCGCAGCAGUGAGGAAUAUUGGUCAAUGGGCGAGAGCCUGAACCAGCCAAGUCGCGUGAAGGAUGACGGCCCUAUGGGUUGUAAACUUCUUUUGUCAGGGAGCAAUUGGGUCCACGCGUGGGCUUAGCGAGAGUACCUGAAGAAAAAGCAUCGGCUAACUCCGUGCCAGCAGCCGCGGUAAUACGGAGGAUGCGAGCGUUAUCCGGAUUUAUUGGGUUUAAAGGGUGCGCAGGCGGCCUGUUAAGUCAGCGGUAAAAGCCCGGGGCUCAACCCCGGCGAGCCGUUGAAACUGG